UACGAAGGGGGCUAGCGUUGCUCGGAGUCACUGGGCGUAAAGGGUGCGUAGGCGGGUCUUUAAGGCAGGGGUGAAAUCCUGGAGCUCAACUCCAGAACUGCCUUUGAUGCUGAAGAUCUUGAGUUCGGGAGAGGUGAGUGGAACUGCGAGUGUAGAGGUGAAAUUCGUAGAUAUUCGCAAGAACACCAGUGGCGAAGGCGGCUCACUGGCCCGAUACUGACGCUGAGGCACGAAAGCGUGGGGAGCAAACAGG
rnacentral:rRNA from 1 species